CCUACGGGGGGCAGCAGUGAGGAAUAUUGGUCAAUGGGCGGGAGCCUGAACCAGCCAAGUCGCGUGAGGGAAGACGGUCCUAUGGAUUGUAAACCUCUUUAGGCGGGGAGCAAUGCCGGGCACGUGUGCCCGGAGGGAGAGUACCCGCAGAAUAAGCAUCGGCUAACUCCGUGCCAGCAGCCGCGGUAAUACGGAGGAUGCGAGCGUUAUCCGGAUUUAUUGGGUGUGAAGGGUGCGUAGGCGGGCCUUCAGGCCGGCGGGAAAAUUGCGGGGCUAAACCCCGCCGAGCCGUCGGAACCGGUGGGCUUGAGUACCGGAGAAGUACGCGGAAUGCGUGGUGUAGCGGUGAAAUGCAUAGAUAUCACGCAGAACCCCGAUUGCGAAGGCAGCGUACCGGCCGGUCACUGACGCUGAGGCACGAAAGCGCGGGUAUCGAACAGGAUUAGAUACCCGAGUAGUC
rnacentral:rRNA from 1 species